CUUUAGCCCCGAUGGAAACGGCAUCCUUUUUUGCACGGCCUGAAAAGCGCUGGCAAAAAAGAUACAGUGGACAGCGGGAUUAAGC
rnacentral:sRNA from 1 species